rnacentral:rRNA from 1 species
AGCGAACGCUGGCGGCAGGCUUAACACAUGCAAGUCGAGCGGGCAUCUUCGGAUGUCAGCGGCAGACGGGUGAGUAACACGUGGGAACGUACCCUUCGGUUCGGAACAACUCUGGGAAACUGGAGCUAAUACCGGAUACGCCCUUAUGGGGAAAGGUUUACUGCCGAAGGAUCGGCCCGCGUCUGAUUAGCUAGUUGGUGGGGUAACGGCCUACCAAGGCGACGAUCAGUAGCUGGUCUGAGAGGAUGAUCAGCCACACUGGGACUGAGACACGGCCCAGACUCCUACGGGAGGCAGCAGUGGGGAAUAUUGGACAAUGGGCGCAAGCCUGAUCCAGCCAUGCCGCGGGAGUGAUGAAGGCCUUAGGGUUGUAAAGCUCUUUUGGCCGGGACGAUAAUGACGGUACCGGAAGAAUAAGCCCCGGCUAACUUCGU